UUACAAAUCAGGCUAAUUACAAAUCAAUAACAUUAGCCAACUCCGAAACACGACGCGCUGAGCAUUGGGAUCAAGACAUCUCGGACAACUGGCUUCAGUUCACCGCUCACAUCUGGCAGUGCUCUCCCAGGACCUGGGUUCG